UGCCUACGGGGGGCAGCAGUGGGGAAUAUUGCACAAUGGGGGAAACCCUGAUGCAGCGACGCCGCGUGAGUGAAGAAGUAUUUCGGUAUGUAAAGCUGUAUCAGCAGGGAAGAUAAUGACGGUACCUGACUAAGAAGCCCCGGCUAACUACGUGCCAGCAGCCGCGGUAAUACGUAGGGGGCAAGCGUUGUCCGGAUUUACUGGGGGGAAAGGGUGCGGAGGUGGCAGGGCAAGUCAGAUGUGAAAGCCCGUGGCUCAACCCCGGAACGGCAUUUGAAACUGUUCAGCUGGAGUGCAGGAGAGGG
rnacentral:rRNA from 1 species